rnacentral:tRNA from 1 species
GGAGAGAUGGCCGAGUGGUUGAAAGCGUAGCAUUGGAACUGCUAUGUAGGCUUUUGCUUACCGAGGGUUCGAAUCC